rnacentral:rRNA from 1 species
UACAGAGGGUGCAAGCGUUGUUCGGAAUCACUGGGCGUAAAGCGCACGUAGGCGGAUUGCUAAGUCAGGGGUGAAAUCCUGGAGCUCAACUCCAGAACUGCCUUUGAUACUGGCGACCUUGAGUCCGGGAGAGGUGAGUGGAACUGCGAGUGUAGAGGUGAAAUUCGUAGAUAUUCGCAAGAACACCAGUGGCGAAGGCGGCUCACUGGCCCGGUACUGACGCUGAGGUGCGAAAGCGUGGGGAGCAAACAGG